CAGUAAUCCCCCCCCCCCCCCCAUGGGGACAAGAGAUUCCUGAGACCUGAUUCUAGAAGCUUCCCCUAGAAUCGGUAUCCGGACCCUCUGGUCCCCUGGAAAAAGGGGCGGAGCCUAUUUCU
rnacentral:precursor_RNA from 14 species